rnacentral:rRNA from 1 species
UUCCCUACGGGAGGCAGCAGUGGGGAAUUUUGGACAAUGGGCGCAAGCCUGAUCCAGCCAUGCCGCGUGCGGGAAGAAGGCCUUCGGGUUGUAAACCGCUUUUGUCAGGGAAGAAAUCUUCUGGGCUAAUACCCUGGGAGGAUGACGGUACCUGAAGAAUAAGCACCGGCUAACUACGUGCCAGCAGCCGCGGUAAUACGUAGGGUGCGAGCGUUAAUCGGAAUUACUGGGCGUAAAGCGUGCGCAGGCGGUUUUGUAAGACAGAGGUGAAAUCCCCGGGCUCAACCUGGGAACUGCCUUUGUGACUGCAAAGCUGGAGUACGGCAGAGGGGGAUGGAAUUCCGCGUGUAGCAGUGAAAUGCGUAGAUAUGCGGAGGAACACCGAUGGCGAAGGCAAUCCCCUGGGCCUGCACUGACGCUCAUGCACGAAAGCGUGGGGAGCAAACAGGAUUAGAUACCCUAGUAGUC